rnacentral:rRNA from 1 species
UACGUAGGGUGCAAGCGUUAAUCGGAAUUACUGGGCGUAAAGCGUGCGCAGGCGGUUAUGUAAGCCAGAUGGGAAAUGCCCGGGCUUAACCUGGGAACUGCAUUUGUGACUGCAUGGCUAGAGUGUGUCAGAGGGGGGUAGAAUUCCACGUGUAGCAGUGAAAUGCGUAGAUAUGUGGAGGAAUACCGAUGGCGAAGGCAGCCCCCUGGGAUAACACUGACGCUCAUGCACGAAAGCGUGGGGAGCAAACAGG